rnacentral:rRNA from 1 species
GAUGAACGCUGGCGGCGUGCCUAAUACAUGCAAGUCGAGCGAACAGACGAGGAGUUUGCUCCUCUGACGUUAGCGGCGGACGGGUGAGUAACACGUGGAUAACCUACCUAUAAGACUGGGAUAACUUCGGGAAACCGGAGCUAAUACCGGAUAAUAUAUUGAACCGCAUGGUUCAAUAGUGAAAGACGGUUUUGCUGUCACUUAUAGAUGGAUCCGCGCCGCAUUAGCUAGUUGGUAAGGUAACGGCUUACCAAGGCAACGAUGCGUAGCCGACCUGAGAGCGUGAUCAGCCACCCUGGAACUGAGACACGGUCCAGACUCCUACGGGAGGCAGCAGUAGGGAAUCUUCCGCAAUGGGCGAAAGCCUGACGGAGCAACGCCGCGUGAGUGAUGAAGGUCUUCGGAUCGUAAAACUCUGUUAUUAGGGAAGAACAAAUGUGUAAGUAACUAUGCACGUCUUGACGGUACCUAAUCAGAAAGCCACGGCUAACUACGUG